rnacentral:lncRNA from 1 species
CUCAGAUCCAGCAGUGGGAAGAGCUUGCUAAGAGGAAGUGAGCUCUGUGGAUCAAAACUAACUCUGACUGGGGCUGCUCCUUACUGACCUGUAUGCAACUAGGUAAAGGCUUCCUUGUGAGGGAGUCUGCAGGGAAGUCCUCAGGGGGCUAGGGUACCUAUUAUCAACCACAGGAAUGUAGAAAACACUUAUCAUUCUUAUUGCUUUUCAGGUUUAAUUUCUAUAAUGCAAUCACAAAGCUUUCUUGUCCUGUACUGACUCUCUUUUUUUUCCCCCUCCCCUUUGUAAAACAUAUGAGCUACUUGCUACCUACAUUACUGUUUCAGCCCACCCGUAUUAGAACAGAUCACUAAUGUAUUUUAGAAAUCAAUUUGUCUUCACCACCUGGUUGGCUUGUUUUUGUUUUCUUUUUUGUUUUGUUUUUUUCCCUUGCUUUUCUCUUGAAAGAAAGCUAAGAGCCAGUUAUUGGAGCUCCUCAUUGGCUCUCUCUUCUGUGAAGGUUGACCUUAACAGGAAAUCUGGCACGCAUUGGCUCCUAAUUCUGUGCGUUAAUACAGAAAUUCUGUUCUGUUCUGAAUCCCACUGCUGACUGAUGGGUGGUGCCACCCGGCUGUUAAGGGGUAAUGCGCUGUAAUGGAAGCAGGACCUGAGCAUAGGGUUUUGCAAAGGGCCCUGAAAGCGGGCUCUUAGCUCUGGCUGCAUUAUAUGUGAUGAGCUUCUCGUUCCCAGGGAACAAGUCUUUAAAAGGAGAGGAGCAGAAAGGAAGGCAGUGAACAGACAGACCUGGAAGCAAAGGGCAGGAGGGAACAGAAGAGAGCUUCCCAAGCCAUCUGCAAGCUGCUAUAAACCCAUCUACGUUUGAUGCUGGAGGGAAGCGGGCUGUACGCCUCUUGGUGCUGUCCCCAGCUGCUCGUGGAAGUCAGCGCUGCUUCGUUUGGGUUUUGCUGCCGUGUUUCCCACAGCGUGAGAGCUGUCUCAGCCGCCGCUGGGCGCCGGGUAUGUCGAGGGGCUUCAGCGGGUGGUGGGAG